rnacentral:misc_RNA from 1 species
CAGAGUUGCAAAACUCCCUAAACCAUCGUGAACGUUACCUAUACCGUUGCUUCGGCGGGCGGCCCCGGGGUUUACCCCCCGGGCGCCCCUGGGCCCCACCGCGGGCGCCCGCCGGAGGUCACCAAACUCUUGAUAAUUUAUGGCCUCUCUGAGUCUUCUGUACUGAAUAAGUCA